ensembl:lncRNA
CCGGGCCGGGUGGGAGCGGGUACGGAAGCUCGGGCCAGACGCUUUGUUAGCAGGAGGCCCGGACAGCCUGAUCCGGAAGGUGGGGCCUGGUUCUGGACUGCCGUACGUAGUUUCGUUCCUGGCCAUUUUUUCCACCGCCAAAUGGGCUGAAGACAGGAGAAGGAAGCAGGAUCUGUGUCUGACUUUGCAGACGUUUUAGUGAAUGACCCCGAUUUAGUCCUUCCGCUCCAUCACCUCGGCUUUUCACUUCUCUGUGAAGUAAGCAUCAUAAGUAAUCAUCCUUGUCUGUGGAUCUCUUGGAAGGAAUAUUGUGAUAGGGGUUGUGAGUUCAUUUGUGGAUGUCUGAAGAACUUGGAGGACUUUUGAAAUAAUAGCGUAGCUUAUUGAACUCAAUUAUCCCUUUCAGGUUCAAUAAGGGCACAGCAGCAUAAGGAAAAUGAAGGAAAUAUCAAAGACAGAUGUACUGGCACAAGAUAAAAAGUAUGCCUCAGCUGACAUAGUUGCCAUUUUAAGACUGCUAAGUUUAGCUGAAUGUGCCUGAAUUUUUUUAGCAUUUUUUUUUUCUUUUUAGCAUUGGCAUACCAUAUGAAAUGUGGGCAGUUGCCAGUAGUCUGCAGAGUACUAUGGCAGAAUUGGCAAUGACUGAAUCGAUUCAUUCAAGAAAAAAUUCAUCAUGUGCCUACUAUGUGCAUAGUUUCUAAAAUCUAAGUCUCUGCUUCCAGGGGCUUUGCAGUGAAAUAAGUGUUAUAGUAAAUACACAGAGAGUGCUAGCCAUCUGCCUGUUCCUCUUGUACAGUGGUUGCUAAGUGCAGAACAGUAUUGUGCAGCUAAGGUGCUCAGUCGUGUCUGACUCUUUGCGACCCCAUGGACUGUAGCUCACCAGGCUCCUCUGUCCAUGAGGAUUCUCCAUGCAAGAACACUGGGGUGGGUUGCCAUGCCCUCCUCCAGGGGAUCUUCCCAACCCAGGGAUCGAGGUCUCCCGCAUUACAGCUGUAUUCUUUACCUUCUGAGCACCAGGGAAGCCCAGAACAUUGUAUAUCUUAACACUACAGAUUUAAGUCAUAACCUCAGGUGGAUUCCUCCCUCCUACUUGUAUAUUCUGAAGCACCUUUUUCAUCCUACCCACUAGAAUACUUUUGCAGUCUUUAAAUCCCAGCCACAUAGAAUUAUGUAACUUGAGCAAGCUUCACAAGAAGGCUGAUGCUAUUCGACAAAAAUGCCUUCAAUUUGCCAAAUGCUAGAAACUUAGGUACUUAACAAAUCUUUCCUUUCCUCCAAUAUCAGUGGAAUGACACACUCCCUGCUCUUACAUAAGAUGAAUUGUCCAUCUGUUCUCUAGUUCCAAUCCCGUAUUUCUCUUUUAUCUUUUCUGUCUUCAGGCUUCUACAAUUGUCCUUCCACUCUAUCUCCUUUCCUCCACAACCAAGCUUUAAAAAGUACUCUACGUUCAGUGUCUCUUUUUAUUAUCUGAAUCUCAUUUAUUAACUCUCUGCAGUCUAAUUUCUGCAUCUAUCACACUAUCAAAAAUACUCUAAUCCCAUUAUUUAGAAGAAAAUGAAUUCUUAUCUUUUAUAUAAUAAGGAAAUAAUUUAUUGGAACUUGUAGAAUAAGAUUGAACCUACUGAAAUGGACAAAGCCUCUGGAGUGACUUUCUAUUAUUUUUAUCUAGCAUUUUUUUUUUCCUUUUAGAACCUUGUAGCAGAGUCAUUCAUGAAACUUAUUUAUUCUUGGAGAUACAGCUAGACUAAUUAUCCCAACUUCCCUUUAGUUAGUUGUGGUCUUGUAAUUGACUUUUAGCCUGUGAAAUGUAAGUGGAAGUGAUGUGCUCAUUUCCAG